GUGGCACAUUCUAAAGGAAGCCUCUUCUUCUAUCUCAAGUAUCCCAGAGGGAUGGAUCUCAAAGAACUUGAUUAAGUUCUCAAAUACACAUUUUUCUGUAUGAAACAACCAGAAGUAUUUUGGUGUAGAAUUAAUACUCAACAAGGUGUGUUCUGGCCACUGGAGCCCAUUUCUGCAGGCUGCUCCGAGAGAUGGAACAGUCAGCAUGAAGACCAGCAAGAGCAGAGCUCCGCUUUUCAGCUGGGCAGGGGAGCUUCUGCCCCUGCAGAGUGUUCGGCAAAGUUUCAGCCGCUACCACUAGGAGCAGGCGCUGCUGUGUGGAAGGGGCAGGCGGGAUGCGGCGGUACCUGUUCCCAUGCAGUUACUGAGGACAACUCUCAACAUGAAAGAUCUGCAGUUACUUAAGACAGAAACAUUGCCCAGAAGGGUUGAAAGGAAGACAACAGAUGCAGGGGGUCUCCUGAGAUACACCCAAGGGUCCAGGGCGGCGCUCCCGGGGCCCCUGUGACCUCACCACCUUAUCCAAGGGGCUCAUCACACUUGCUUGAACUUCAUUCAAGCUUCCUAAAAAGUUGACAAGCAGUUUUCAAGCUUCAACUCCGUGUAUAUGGGAGAACAGCACACGAGCCACUGAGGGGUGUGGAAUCAGGGCGCUGACACCAGAGAAACUUUACUUCUUCGUUUGGCAUC